CCCACCCCGCGACCAUUGCUCAGGACUGGGACGGGCGCUGGGGGCCACCGGGACCCCCCACCCCGCGCCACCAGGGCGGGGUGGCCCCUGGAGCCGCUGGCGGGGCCUCCCUCAUGCAGCUAGGAUCCUCCCCCUGCCCAGGGGGAGAUGAACAGAAGGCGGUCAUCACGGGUGACACUACAGGGACCGCGGAGGAAGCCUCCUGGGAGUAGCUCCAGCUCGGCCCCACCCCACCCCAGGGCCAGGCUGCUCCCCGAGGGCAGGGUGGGGUCUGUGUGGGGACUCCCUGGCCUCGGCCUCCGCCCCAGGGAAACAGAGGCUGCAUCCAAAAUCCAGAGCAGCCCGCUGGGGUCCGGGGCAGGGUCUGGGCCACCCCGGGGGUGGAAACAGGAAGGAUGCGCCUGGUUUUGGCUUUAAUAUUCAAAGUGGAAAAAAAUACAAGAAAGUUGUACAGUAUUUUUCCUGUAAAGGUUAUUAUUCUGCAUAGAACAAAAAGGAAGAAAGCAGGUGUGGUGAGUGCAGACCUGCCUCGGCCCGGCCUGAGGUCGGAGGUCAGCCCCGUUUCUCCUGUGGGAUUUGGUCCAGAGUUUUUUGUAGAGGCCUUAUCAGUUUGAGGCUGUCUGUCUUCACACUAGCACUGAUGGGAGCUGCGUGAUUCCAACUCUUAACUUGAAUUUUAUAGAGACAAGAAGAAAGGACUCUUACUGUUGAUCCAAGUCUGUAGUUAUUUAACAUUUGAGUUCUCUAUUGGUGACGUGUGUGGCUUUAUAGGGCUUUUUUUUUCGUUUGUUUUAUUACUUUGUUUGGGAUGCUGCUUUGCUGGUGCAGUCUACCCAGGUUUGGUUCCCUUUGCAAAACAUGCCCCUGCCUGGAGAUGAUAAGGCCGUCGGAGCCCGGACCAGGGCCUGACCUGGCAGGCACACACCUGGCUGGUGGCUCUGAGGUCCCCAGGGACCGAGUUCCCUAUGAAGGCAGGCUACCUGAGGCCACACCUGCCCACCUCCCCUACUCCAGGCCACCAGCUAGUGUCGGAUCGGGCCACAGGGAGGGAGAGAACGGGCCUAGCAGGGAAUGGAGGGCUGCAGGGGGAGGCUGUCACCGAGAGGCCUCCUUCCCAGAGAGCUCCACGGGGAACCUGGCUCAACUGAGGGGCAGUGGUUUACUUUCCCUUUUUUCUUCCUUUCUUUUGUCCUCUCGGCUGCCCACAGUCAGUAAGCCAGGACCACCCCAACUGGACAGGGCACAGGGAGGGAGGAGUGGUCGGACAGAGCGUACCUGAUUCAACAGGAAAUGAAUUGUUUCUAAAACAGCCCCUACCAGAGCCUCCUGAACUCUGCGGACACCACGUGCUGCUGUGAGCAUCUGCCCAAACCGUGACCAGCCACAGGCCCCGGGCGCCUGUGGAAGUUUUGUAAAGGAAAACACACACACACACACACACACACACACACACGUUUUCAAUGUAGCAAAAUCAAACUAAAAAGAAAAAAAGAAGAUGCCGACGGUGCGAAGUCUAGCCUUCUGUAACCUUCAUAUUGCACACUAGGACUAUAAGCCAUUGCUAGCUCAUUUUGAAUUUUAACGUGUAAUUUUUGUUUUAUUUUCUUUCUGUGGGGAAGACAAUGCUUGAUCCACCAAUGCUCUUUUUAAUGUUUUAUAACUAUGUAUGUGUAUAUAUAUAAAUAUAAAAUAACAUGUAUGCACAUAUGUGUGUGUAUAUAUCUAUAUGUAUAUACAUAUAUAGAUAUAUAGAGAUAUAUAGAGAGGUUUUGAGACAAAAAAAUGCAGAACGUGAAACCCGAACUGAACAUCGUGUGCUCUGAUUACUUGAAUCUGGUCUCCUCGGCACCUGGUUAUCAAGAACUGAAUAUUUUUCCACUUGAAUUUAGUGCUAUUAGAAAUUUAAUAUAUGUGUUUUAUUUAUUUGAUUUUUUUUUUUUUUUUUGCAUGACUGAUGCAAGGUUUGACAUUUUCACUCAAUAAAAACUGGAAAAAAAUCUAUCAAGUUAUCUUUUAUUUUUAAAAGCAUCCAUGACCCAGCUACACCAGUAGGGUGAGGGGGGCAGAGUUGGGAACCCUUGGACCCUGACAGGAAAAGGGGGAAACAGACCAGUUUGUCUCUAGGCAUGAGGCCAGGUUCUCCCAGGCUACUGGGUACAGAGAUACGGGACUCAAGCCUGGCCUGGCCAGAAGGGUGGCCUCCUCCCCAGCCUUGACUGAAGCCCCCACUUGGGGUUCAGGAGCCACCUUCAGGCAAAGCCAUUUGACACCAAGGCCUGGGGGGGUAGGACAAAGGCUCUGUGGCCUCCCAGGACACCCACCCCAGUCAACCCUCUCCUCUCCUGCUGGGCUGCUGGGCCGGCAUUGGCAGGGCCACCCUCCUGCCUCCUCCCUCGGCUCCUUCCUCCUUCCUGCAGGGACCUGCCCAGGCUGGGAACGGCGCGUACCCGGAUCCAAUCCGGAUGCUGGCGCAGCUCCUGCCUGGAGCACUGGGUGGCAGAGCCAGAGGGGGCUGAUAAUUCUUGGGUUUGUAGCCACCGACCCAGAGCCUAAGCUGCCAGCCCUGGUGGCACCGUGGUUGGCUCCCUUGGAAGCACAGUGGCCAGAGUACCCACCAGGCCUAGCUUGGAGUGCAGGCCUCCCAGGCGCUCCAGGAGUUUGCCCUGACACUUUCAACUGGUGGCCGGCUUCUCACACCACCACCUUGGCAGCCCUCCCCUGAGCUGGCCUCCAGGUGUCCGGAGCUUCCUGGGGCCUUGAGGAGAGGACGUGCAGGGCCCACCACGUUCUUCCACACUGAGUCUUACUGGUUUGUCACACCCCAACCACAGGGAUGUCACAUCCACUUCCAUGAUGAGGAAACAGGCAGACUUCAGGGGGCUGGAGAGGUUCCGUGACCAAAGCGUGCAUCUCCCUCACUGAGCCUGGCACCAGCUGGCCAGGCACCAGGGACCAGGGACAGCAGGGGAGUGGCCUUAGCCCACAGCGCCCAGGCCCAUAUCAUUUCCCACCGCAGAAGUACGUCUCCAGCCCAGCCCCAGCGCAUGGGCACUCCCUUUCUUCUUUCCUCCUGGAACGCAGCCCACAGGCUAUUUACAUAAAUAUGUUUGUAACAGACACGAAAAUAUAUACUUUUUUCUGUCUUAUUAAAAUGUUCAAGUUGGAA